rnacentral:rRNA from 1 species
GAUGAACGCUGGCGGCGUGCUUAACACAUGCAAGUCGAACGAAGCUGUUAGAAGGAAGUCUUCGGAUGGAAUUUUGGUAGACUUAGUGGCGGACGGGUGAGUAACGCGUGGAUAACCUGCCUUAUACAGGGGGAUAACGGAGAGAAAUUUCCGCUAAGACCGCAUAAGACCACAGCACCGCAUGGUGCAGGGGUAAAAUAUUUAUAGGUAUAAGAUGGAUCCGCGUCCGAUUAGCUAGUUGGUGAGGUAAAGGCCCACCAAGGCGACGAUCGGUAGCCGGCCUGAGAGGGCGAACGGCCACAUUGGGACUGAGACACGGCCCAAACUCCUACGGGAGGCAGCAGUGGGGAAUAUUGGACAAUGGGGGAAACCCUGAUCCAGCGACGCCGCGUGAGUGAAGAAGUAUUUCGGUAUGUAAAGCUCUAUCAGCAGGGAAGAAAAUGACA